AUGCGUGGCCGCGGAGCGCGCGUGCGCAGCCCAAGCCCCGGGCGCGCGCCGGCGAGGGGGCGUUGGCCGGUUCCCGAGUCCUGAAGAAGAGGAAGCCCAAGUAAUGGAUUCUGAGUUAAUGCAUAGUAUAGUAGGAAGCUAUCUCAGACCACCAGAAAGAGUGUUUAUUCCAACAUGCUCUCAGAAUGAACCACAUCAGAAUCACUUCCCUGUGAACAAACAAGGUACCUCUUCUAAAGUGCUUCAGAGCCCAAAUAGCCAAGCUCUCGUUUUGGCCUUAAGAACUCUUCAGGAAAAGAUUCAUCGUUUAGAGCUAGAGCGAACACAAGCUGAAGAUAACCUGAACAUUCUUUCCAGAGAGGCGGCACAGUACAAAAAGGCCUUGCAGAAUGAAACAAACGAAAGAAAUCUGGCACACCAGGAGCUGAUUAAGCAGAAAAAAGAUAUAAGUAUACAGCUAAGCUCAGCACAAUCUCGUUGCACUCUUCUAGAAAAGCAACUGGAAUAUACAAAGAGAAUGGUUCUCAAUGUAGAGCGAGAAAAGAAUAUGAUUCUAGAACAACAGGCCCUACUUCAAAGGGAGAAAGAGCAGGAUCAGAUGAAGCUGCAUGCAAAACUUGAAAAGCUUGAUGUCUUAGAAAAAGAAUGUCUUAGACUUACAGCAACUCAGAAAACUGCAGAGGACAAGAUUAAGCAGCUAGAGGAAAAACUUAAGGAGGAAGAACAUCAUCGAAAGUUAUUUCAAGACAAGGCUUCCGAGCUUCAAACCGGACUUGAAAUCAGUAAAAUUUUAAUGUCUUCAGUUUCUAAUCCAAAAACCUCCAAGGAAAAGAAGAAAUCAUCAAAAAAAGCUAAAUGUCUGAAGAGAGUAUCCCCUAACCUGACUUAUUCAAAGUUUGGUGCACUGCCUUUUGAGACUGAAAAGCCUGCCAGCGCAGGCAGUUCUGCACAUGCAGGUGUGCACAGUGUGCUGCGCACGGUGCAGCAGCGUAGGCCGCCGGUUCUACAGACACCUUCUGAGGUCGCUGAGCAUGGGGGACGUUGGUGCAAGCCUGCUAGGAAAACAUCCUCGUGUAAAGCUUUCGCUUCUGACUCAGCAAAGUCUAUUUCCAUGUGUGACAAUUUGUCUGAACUUUUGAUGGCAAUGCAAGAUGAGCUGGACCAAAUGUGUGUGGAGCACCAAGAACUUCUGAGACAAAUGAAGGACACUGAAAGCCACUCAGUCUAUGGUGACAUAGAAUGUGAACUAGAGCAUUUAGUCAAGAAAAUGGAAAUUAAAAGAGAACAAAUUUUCAAACUGAGGAAGCAUCAAGACAGUGUUCAUAAGCUGCAGCAAAAAGUUCAAAACUCAAAGAUGAGAACAGCUCCAGGCACUCAGCGAGAAGAAUACCACCAACCUAACAGAUCAAAGAACAUAAAAAACAGCCCCAGAAAAUGUGUGAAUGAAGCUAGCUCUUCUCAAAAAAACAGCCACUUUCAUCCAGUACGAGUUCAUAAUGUUCAAGUGAAAUUGAGGAAAGAUGAUAUCAUGUGGGAACAGUAGCACAAUAGCAAAACUGUCACCUUAGAUGAACUGUGUCAGUGGGCUCUUGAAUUGUCUAAAGUGGUUUUAAUUUAAUAAUACCUUUGUGAACUUUUGAAUUGUUUCUAGCCUCUUAUAAGACAUGAAGUUGCAGUGCUUUAAAAUUAAUGCCUUAAUGAAAUAGGAGGCCCAAAUAAUAAAUGAUUAGGUUUUUAUUUUUUUGGCUAAGACCCCUAACCUCAUCAUGUUAAAAAAAGAAAGUCCUCCUUGAAGAUAUCUUAAGCUAGAAUCUAAGAAAUAUCAUACGUUUAAAAAAUCUGUUAAAUUUGGGAUACAGUCUAUUCUGAGUUUUCAUUAGUAGGCUCAUAACUUUACAGACCAAUGUGAAAUGUACAUCAAGGUCUUUGUCUUUUUAACUUUGCUGAUGCUUGCUUUAAAGCUGUGAAAUGUUUCUCUUAGAAAAAGAGAAACUCAAUAAUUCUUCAGUUUUGUUGAAGAUCCCUUUGACCCAGCUUUUAUACAAUUACAAAUAAAUUUUUUUAGGUGAUAGUAACUCAGUUGCAGAAAUUUUUCUCUGUUAUUCUCAUUUUCUUUUACAGAUGUAGAUGUUCUUUAACAUCAGUGAUCUAUUUUAUUUUACUGCUUUAUAAUUUUUGAUGACCUGUAAUUUUGGCAUUGUAUAUCACAUUUGUCAAUACAAAUUGAGAAUGUGAAUUUUUUAGGAUCCACCAAAGUGGCCUUUUUAAUCAUGAAAGUAUGUUGGGCAUUUGAUUACCUCGUCUAGCAAAAAAUCAGGACAGUGUGAAGCCUUUGGAAACUAGCACAAGCCUUUUGAACCAUUGGUUUCUCGCUCGAAUCUUGGGCAACUGGAGAAGUGGAGCUCGCUGAAGCAGAAAUAGAGGACAGACAGAAGGAAAUUCCCAGAAAGUGUGUGUAGGAGAAAGUGGGUAAUUAUGGACCUUCUGGGCAGGAAAACCCUCAUUCAUGCCAAUGGUGAGAAGAGGUGCCCUGGUCAAAAGAGGGGCAGACUGGAACUGAAACUGGUCCUUGAAAGUCCUUAGUGGCAGAGAUCAAGUUUUUCUCUGGCUGUAAUGGAAUGUGUGCCCUUGGCUCAUUUUCAGGUCCCUACCUCCUCCCUUUAGCAACUCAGAUUUGAAGAGGUCCCACAGCCAUCUUCACCUGAAGUCACUUGUAUGCCUCUGCCUAUGUUCCUACUUUGCCUCUGCUCUUCAAGGAUGUGAGUUUAAUAGUUUAAAGUUAAAAACACCCAUCUGGACCGUAAUGCAGCCCUGUGUUUCUGUACCUACUCAGAAGAUGGCAUGUGGAUUACGAAUAUAUGUGGAUUA